rnacentral:rRNA from 1 species
GGGUUGUGAGGUUAAGCGACCAAGCGUACACGGUGGAUGCCCUGGCAGUCAGAGGCGAUGAAGGACGUGCUAAUCUGCGAAAAGCGCCGGUAAGGUGAUAUGAACCGUUAUAACCGGCGAUGUCCGAAUGGGGAAACCCAGUGUGACUCGUCACACUAUCAUUAACUGAAUCCAUAGGUUAAUGAGGCGAACCGGGGGAACUGAAACAUCUAAGUACCCCGAGGAAAAGAAAUCAACCGAGAUUCCCCCAGUAGCGGCGAGCGAACGGGGAGGAGCCCAGAGCCUGAAUCAGCAUGUGUGUUAGUGGAAGCGUCUGGAAAGGCGCGCGAUACAGGGUGACAGCCCCGUACACAAAAGCGCAUAUGCUGUGAGCUCGAUGAGUAGGGCGGGACACGUGGUAUCCUGUCUGAAUAUGGGGGGACCAUCCUCCAAGGCUAAAUACUCCUGACUGACCGAUAGUGAACCAGUACCGUGAGGGAAAGGCGAAAAGAACCCCGGCGAGGGGAGUGAAACAGAACCUGAAACCGUGUACGUACAAGCAGUGGGAGCCUCUCUUUAUGGGGGGUGACUGCGUACCUUUUGUAUAAUGGGUCAGCGACUUAUAUUCUGUAGCAAGGUUAACCGCAUAGGGGAGCCGAAGGGAAACCGAGUCUUAACCGGGCGUUAAGUUGCAGGGUAUAGACCCGAAACCCGGUGAUCUAGCCAUGGGCAGGUUGAAGGUUGGGUAACACUAACUGGAGGACCGAACCGACUAAUGUUGAAAAAUUAGCGGAUGACCUGUGGCUGGGGGUGAAAGGCCAAUCAAACCGGGAGAUAGCUGGUUCUCCCCGAAAGCUAUUUAGGUAGCGCCUCGUGAAUUCAUCUCCGGGGGUAGAGCACUGUUUCGGCUAGGGGGCCAUCCCGGCUUACCAACCCGAUGCAAACUGCGAAUACCGGAGAAUGUUAUCACGGGAGACACACGGCGGGUGCUAACGUCCGUCGUGAAGAGGGAAACAACCCAGACCGCCAGCUAAGGUCCCAAAGUCAUGGUUAAGUGGGAAACGAUGUGGGAAGGCCCAGACAGCCAGGAUGUUGGCUUAGAAGCAGCCAUCAUUUAAAGAAAGCGUAAUAGCUCACUGGUCGAGUCGGCCUGCGCGGAAGAUGUAACGGGGCUAAACCAUGCACCGAAGCUGCGGCAGCGACACUUUAGUGUUGUUGGGUAGGGGAGCGUUCUGUAAGCCGUUGAAGGUGUCCUGUGAGGGGUGCUGGAGGUAUCAGAAGUGCGAAUGCUGACAUAAGUAACGAUAAAGCGGGUGAAAAGCCCGCUCGCCGGAAGACCAAGGGUUCCUGUCCAACGUUAAUCGGGGCAGGGUGAGUCGACCCCUAAGGCGAGGCCGAAAGGCGUAGUCGAUGGGAAACGGGUUAAUAUUCCCGUACUUGGUGUUACUGCGAAGGGGGGACGGAGAAGGCUAUGUUGGCCGGGCGACGGUAGUCCCGGUUUAAGCGUGUAGGUGUGUGUUCCAGGUAAAUCCGGUUCACUUUAACACUGAGGCGUGAUGACGAGGCACCACGGUGCUGAAGCAACAAAUGCCCUGCUUCCAGGAAAAGCCUCUAAGCAUCAGGUAACAUCAAAUCGUACCCCAAACCGACACAGGUGGUCAGGUAGAGAAUACCAAGGCGCUUGAGAGAACUCGGGUGAAGGAACUAGGCAAAAUGGUGCCGUAACUUCGGGAGAAGGCACGCUGACACGUAGGUGAAGUGAUUUACUCAUGGAGCUGAAGUCAGUCGAAGAUACCAGCUGGCUGCAACUGUUUAUUAAAAACACAGCACUGUGCAAACACGAAAGUGGACGUAUACGGUGUGACGCCUGCCCGGUGCCGGAAGGUUAAUUGAUGGGGUCAGCGCAAGCGAAGCUCCUGAUCGAAGCCCCGGUAAACGGCGGCCGUAACUAUAACGGUCCUAAGGUAGCGAAAUUCCUUGUCGGGUAAGUUCCGACCUGCACGAAUGGCGUAAUGAUGGCCAGGCUGUCUCCACCCGAGACUCAGUGAAAUUGAACUCGCUGUGAAGAUGCAGUGUACCCGCGGCAAGACGGAAAGACCCCGUGAACCUUUACUAUAGCUUGACACUGAACAUUGAGCCUUGAUGUGUAGGAUAGGUGGGAGGCUUUGAAGCGUGGACGCCAGUCUGCGUGGAGCCGACCUUGAAAUACCACCCUUUAAUGUUUGAUGUUCUAACGUGGACCCGUAAUCCGGGUUGCGGACAGUGUCUGGUGGGUAGUUUGACUGGGGCGGUCUCCUCCUAAAGAGUAACGGAGGAGCACGAAGGUUGGCUAAUCCUGGUCGGACAUCAGGAGGUUAGUGCAAUGGCAUAAGCCAGCUUGACUGCGAGCGUGACGGCGCGAGCAGGUGCGAAAGCAGGUCAUAGUGAUCCGGUGGUUCUGAAUGGAAGGGCCAUCGCUCAACGGAUAAAAGGUACUCCGGGGAUAACAGGCUGAUACCGCCCAAGAGUUCAUAUCGACGGCGGUGUUUGGCACCUCGAUGUCGGCUCAUCACAUCCUGGGGCUGAAGUAGGUCCCAAGGGUAUGGCUGUUCGCCAUUUAAAGUGGUACGCGAGCUGGGUUUAGAACGUCGUGAGACAGUUCGGUCCCUAUCUGCCGUGGGCGCUGGAAGACUGAGGGGGGCUGCUCCUAGUACGAGAGGACCGGAGUGGACGCAUCACUGGUGUUCGGGUUGUCAUGCCAAUGGCACUGCCCGGUAGCUAAAUGCGGAAAAGAUAAGUGCUGAAAGCAUCUAAGCACGAAACUUGCCCCGAGAUGAGUCUUCCCUGAGACUUUGAGUCUCCUGAAGGAACGUUAAAGACGAUGACGUUGAUAGGCCGGGUGUGUAAGCGCAGCGAUGCGUUGAGCUAACCGGUACUAAUGAACCGUGAGGCUUAACCUUACAACGCCGAAGCUGUU